UACGAAGGGGGCUAGCGUUGUUCGGAAUUACUGGGCGUAAAGCGCACGUAGGCGGACAUUUAAGUCAGGGGUGAAAUCCCGGGGCUCAACCCCGGAACUGCCUUUGAUACUGGGUGUCUAGCGUAUGGAAGAGGUGAGUGGAAUUCCGAGUGUAGAGGUGAAAUUCGUAGAUAUUCGGAGGAACACCAGUGGCGAAGGCGGCUCACUGGUCCAUUACUGACGCUGAGGUGCGAAAGCGUGGGGAGCAAACAGG
rnacentral:rRNA from 1 species